UUAUUUAAAUAUGUGUUAUAUAUGAAAUGAAUUCAAUGCCCUUAAUUGUUUGAGUAUGUGAGAAAUGGCCCUAGGGGCAAAAUAGUAAAUAUGUAUUUUUGGAUUUAUUUUCAACUAAAGGCAUUCUUUGUAAAAAAAUGAAAUUCAUUUUCUGCAUUUACCUUAACCCUAAAACAGCCCCCUUCCCUCUCUCUCUCUCUAUCUCUCUUUGUAUUUGGUUGAAAAAUUGGUGAUUUGCUUGGUAUUCAAGCUUGAAAUUGAAGAAUUGUUUGAGGAGUUGUGGCUUGAUCAUUGCAUUGAAGCUUGAGGAAAGGGUAAAUCUAUCUCUGAUCAGCCAUGAGUAUGGGAGUUGGGCUAUGUAUGUACAUGUUCGGGCCACACUAGACCAAGCGGGUUGGGGUCUACCAGCAUUGAAACUUUUGUAACUCUAUUUUGCCGCUUAGGUCGGCUAAGGAGAAAAGACUUGUAAUGUUUUGUAAAAUGAUUUUUUGGGAUCCCGAAACAUGUAACUUUUGUUUGUAAGGUUAAAAUUAUUACAAGUUUAUUUUCA